UAAAUUUUAAAAUUAUGAUACUAAAAUAGUAAAUAAUUAUUUAUUAAAACUUAAAUAAUUUGGCGGUAUUUUAGUUCAUUUAGAGGAAUCUGUUUAAUAAUUGAUAUUCCACGAAUAAAUUUACUUAAUUUUUAAUUUUGUAUAUCGUUGUUAUAAAAAUAUUUUUUAAUAAAGUUAAUAUUUAAAAAUUAUUAUAAAAAUUUAAAUCAGAUCAAGAUGCAGAUUAUAGUUAAGAAUAUAAUGGAUUACAAUAAAAUUAUUUAAAUGGAUGUUAAUUUGUAAGAUUUAAUUGAAAGUGGAUUUAAAUGUAAUUUUAUUUAAUUUAAUAAAAUGAUUAAAAAUUAAAAUAUGU
rnacentral:rRNA from 1 species